AUGGUGGGUCAUUUGGACACCCUAAUGACUCUCCGUCCUCUUGGGCUUCCCAGCAGACUCCCAGGGCUGAAUGUCUUGGCACCUGGACCUCAGCUCUGCCACCCAGACUCCUCAGCCAAGCCCUGCUGCGUUCUGACCUCUCCUCCUGUUAACGGACCGUGUAUCAGAGUAUCUGUCAAGGCAGACAUCACUCAAGAGCACCGAGAACAUGGUUCUUCUCAGCAGAGUGCUCUCGACAGCCAGCCAGUACUAAUCUAUCCAGGUUUGCCAUGCUGGCGAAGCUGUUGCGUGGAAAACAAAUCCUCGAGGUGCAUCUGAGAGAAUCAAGGCCCAAGAAGGUGAACUUGCCCAAGACGUGGCAGGUGAGUGCAUCUGUGAACCUACAGCCAGCUUUGGGGAGGUGUUGGGGGUGCCUUCUCAUGUUUGGAACAUAUUGAAG
rnacentral:lncRNA from 1 species